AGGCAUGGUGGCGUGCAUAUACAUGCAAGUCGAGCGGACAGAAGGGAGCUUGUUCCCGGAUGUUAGCGGCGGACGGGUGAGAAAAACGUGGGUAACCUGCCUGUAAGACUGGGAUAACUCCGGUUAAACCGGAGCUAAUACCGGAUAGUUCCUUGAACCGCAUGGUUCAAGGAUGAACGACGGUUUCUGCUGUCACUUACAGAUGGACCCGUGGCUCAUUUCCUUGUUGGUGGGGUAUUG
rnacentral:rRNA from 1 species